rnacentral:misc_RNA from 1 species
UCUCCGUUGGUGAACCAGCGGAGGGAUCAUUACAGAGUUGCAAAACUCCCAAACCAUUGUGAACGUUACCUAUCCCGUUGCUUCGGCGGGCGGCCCGGGCCCCGCGCCCGGCGCCCCCCGGCCCCCCGUGGGCGCCCGCCGGAGGUAAACCAAACCCUUGAAUUGCAUGGCCUCUCUGAGUCUUCUGUACUGAAUAAGUCAAAACUUUCAACAACGGAUCUCUUGGUUCUGGCAUCGGUGAAGAACGCAGC